GUAGGGUGCAAGCGUUAAUCGGAAUUACUGGGCGUAAAGCGUGCGCAGGCGGUCUUGCAAGACAGAUGUGAAAUCCCCGGGCUUAACCUGGGAACUGCAUUUGUGACUGCAAGGCUAGAGUACGGUAGAGGGGGAUGGAAUUCCGCGUGUAGCAGUGAAAUGCGUAGAUAUGCGGAGGAACGCCGAUGGCGAAGGCAAUCCCCUGGACCUGUACUGACGCUCAUGCACGAAAGCGUGGGGAGCAAACAGGAUUAGAUACCCUGGUAGUCCACGCCCUAAACGAUGUCAACUGGUUGUUGGGAAGGUUCAUUCUCAGUAACGUAGCUAACGCGUGAAGUUGACCGCCUGUGGAGUACGGCCGCAAGGUUG
rnacentral:rRNA from 1 species